ensembl:lncRNA
AUGUCGUGGGGAAGGGAUUAUGCCAUAGGAAUGGGAUCCCAUUCCCAGUUCAGACCCCAUCCCAGUUCAGACCCCAUCCCAGCACAGGAUCCCAUCCCAGCUCAGGAUCCCAUUCCCAGUUCAGAUCCCAUCCCAGUUCAGAUCCCAUCCCAGUUCAAGAUCCCAUUCCCAGCUCAGGAUCCCAUUCCCAGUUCAGGAUCCCAUUCCCAGUUCAGAUCCCAUUCCCAGUUCAGAUCCUAUUCCUAUGACACGAUCCCAUUCCCAGUUCAUCCCAGUUCAAGAUCCCAUUCCCAGUUCAGAUCCCAUUCCCAGCACAGGAUCCCAUUCCCAGUUCAGAUCCCAUUCCCAGCACAGGAUCCCAUUCCCAGUUCAGAUCCCGUUCCCAGUUCAGAUCCCAUUCCCAGCACAGGAUCCCGUUCCCACAAGAGCAGGAAUUCCCGGUUCCAUUUCCAGGGACACUUUCCCCAUCCCCGCUGCUCCAUCCCUGGGGACCCUUCCCGCUUCGGGGCCGCCCCCAAUUCCCGGCCCCAAUCCCAACCCGCGCCUUUCCACGAAUUAAUCAAUCCUGGAUUAAGGCAGGAUCUGGGCUGGGUUCCUUCCCGCAUCCGAUCUUUACCCGCUUUUCUGCUCAAACACCGCUCCCCUUUCAGGGCUAAUGGGCAGAACACAAACAUCUCACCUUUCCCUCCUCGCCUCUUCCCUCCCUGUUGGUUUUGGACGGAUCCAGGAGGGAAAACUUUUCCGGCCGCUCCUUCCCCCCCUCCCCGCCUGAUUCUGCCACGCUCGGCCGCAAAGGGAAUAAAAAUAUUUGUGUUUGGCCACGGGGUUUAAUUCCUUUACACAGCUCCGGGCUGCAGGGAAAGUGUUUUGUGCCGAGCUCUGCAGGUGUAAAACUGCUCUGGAGCGGGGCCAGAAAUUCUCAGCUAAAAUUCUGGAUUUUAACCCGGUCUGCGACCCCAAAUUCUUGAUUUUAGCCCAGUCUGUGACCCCAAAUUCUUGAUUUUAGCCCGGUCUGUGACCCCAAAUUCUGGAUUUUAGCCCGGUCUGUGACCCCAAAUUCUUGAUUUUAGCCCGGUCUGUGACCCCAAAUUCUUGAUUUUAGCCCGGUCUGUGACCCCAAAUUCUUGAUUUUAGCCCGGUCUGUGACCCCAAAUUCUUGAUUUUAGCCCGGUCUGUGACCCCAAAUUCUUGAUUUUAGCCCGGUCUGUGACCCCAAAUUCUUGAUUUUAGCCCGGUCUGUGACCCCAAAUUCUUGAUUUUAGCCCGGUCUGUGACCCCAAAUUCUUGAUUUUAGCCCGGUCUGUGACCCCAAAUUCUUGAUUUUAGCCCGGUCUGUGACCCCAAAUUCUUGAUUUUAGCCCGGUCUGUGACACCAAAUUAUUUUAGCCCAGUCUCUGACCCUAAAUCCUUGAUCUUAGCCGAGUUUGUGACCCCAAAUUCUGGAUUUCAUCCCAGUCUGUAACCCCAAAUUCUUGAUUUUAUCCCAAUCUGUGUCCCCAAAUCCUUGAUUUUAGCCUGAUCUGUGACCCAGUUCUGCCGCUUUAUCUGCCACAAAAACAGAGUUAUCCAAGGGAUGAUGAGGAACUUUUCCAGUUCUUAAUCUGCUUUUUGGGGAUGAAAUUUAUUAGGUAGAAUUAUGCCUGGUAAUGGGUGCAGAGGAAAGCAAUGGAAUAGAAACCAUUAAAACAGUUAUGGAGGAGGGUUGGGAUUUUUUUGUGGUGGGGUUUUUUUUUGUCCUGGUUUGGGGGUUUUUUUUUUUUUUUUUUUUUUUGCCUUAGCCAAAUAAAAGAAAAGGCUUUUUUCAAGUGUUUUCUUCACUGUUUCCCAGCGCAGGUUUCCCAGGUGGGAAAUGCUGCUACACUUGUGUCGCUGGAGCUCGAGGAAAUAAAAAAUAUCCUGCAGGAAUUCCAGCCCUAAAUAUUGUCAGUUUUGGGGGGUUUUUAGUCCCGGAAUUCAGCAGCUCCAGCCCCCUCAGAGCAUCCUCACCUUUCCCUCCCUCACCUCCUGCUUUUUCUCCCGCUCAGCCACCUCAAUAAUCCCAUUUUUGGCUGGGAAUAGGAAAACCAGGAUUUCCUCCUGUUUUCUUUUCCACCUGCUCCCAGGUUCGCCAAACAAAAAUCAAUUUCUCAUCGCCUGCAGGAAGCUGAACCCUCCAAAAACUCCUCGGAGCCGCAGAUCUCCAGCCCAGCCCAGAUCAAAUCCAUCCAUCACCUUGAUGUCCAUUUUUAUUAUGAUUUUAUUUGCUUUCGGCCGGGCCCCAGGGAGGUUUGGAGCAGGUGAGAGGCGGAAGGUGCAGAUUGAUGCCCCCGGGGCUGCUCUGCCCAGGAGAAAUGGUGGAUAAAUAGUGGAUAAAUGGUGGAUAAAUAGUGGAGAAAUGGUGGAUAAAUAGUGGAGAAAUGGUGGAUAAAUAGGGAAUAAUCCCUCCUUUCAGCAGCUGCGAAGGGGCUGAGGAGGGUGAGGUGCCACGGAAAAAAUCCAGCAAAAAGCUCGGAGGGAAGGAGAAAAUAUUGGACAUUUCCUAAAGAUUUUUAUUGGGAUUGGGAGUGAGGAAAACUGGGGCAAAUGGGUGGAAAUUGAGGAGAUUUUGGUGUUUCAAAGAAAUUCCUCUUCCAAAAAUUGGGAGCUGCAGGGGAUGCUCGUCUGAUUUUCCUCCUCCCAGAAUGAAUUUUCCAUUUUCCUCCUCCCUGGACGGAUUUUCCUUGAGGCAGCUCCUGCAGAGGAAUCUCCACGAAUUCCCAGAUUCCUGCUCCAGGAUUUUGACCUUGUAGCUGAUUUUUCUUUAUUUUUUCCUCUUUUUUCUUUUUAUUUUUUUUUUUUUAAUUUUCUCAGUAGUUGAUGUGAAAACCCCCGAUUUUUCCCCACAGUAUUCCCCAGGCUGAGGCUUUGGAUGAAUUCCUGGAGGUUUCACUCCUGAUUUUCACGGUGACCACGGCCAGCUCCCCAUGGAAUUGUGGCUCCUGAAAUGGGAUGGGAGCGCCUGGAAUCCUCCCGGAUUUGGGGCUUCUUGGUGCUCAUUUCACCCCAAAACAUCCCAUUUUUGGGAAUUCUCAGGGAACUGAGCCUCGUGGUCAAUUUUUACGGACGUUCGGGGAAUUUUGAGGAGCAGGAGCAGGGAAUGAUUGGUGGAACUUGAGGGUUAUCCCCAUUCCCUCUUUUUUAUUUUUUUAUUUAAUGGAAGUUUGGGGUUUUCUGGGAAUCUUCUGCUGGAGCAGAGCAGGAUUGAUGCCAAUUUCGAUGGAAUCUCCAUUCCUGCCGUUUUUUAGAUGGAAAUCUGGGGUUUUCUGGGAAUCUGCUGCAGGAGCAGAGCAGGAUUGGUGCAGGUUAUCCCCAUUCCCUCCUUUUUAAUGGAUAUAACCUGGAAUGAGGGAAAAAAUGAGGGAAAAAUUGAGGGAAAAAUUGAGGGAAAAAUUGAGGGAAAACUCGAUGUGGGCGGCUGCUCGCUGGGGAAUGGCGCAGAUUUCCAUAUUAAAACAGGAACAUUUGGAAAAAAAACUCCUGGGAACUGUGCUGGGAAACCGGCUGCCUUGCACCCCGGGAAUCUGGAGAAGGAUUGGCUGCUCCAAAGGGAUCCCACCUUCGCCCCGCUCCGGGAAAACAUCUGUCCGCACGCCAGGGGCACAUCUGGAGCCCCAUGGCUGCUCCCGGGACAGGGAACGAGCUCGGUCCCGGAUUCCAUCGGGAUGGUGUUCGGGGAGCAUUUGGACCUUUCCCUGCAGGGGAAGCUCCUCCUUUCCCUGGGAACGCCCCAAAUCCCGCUGGGAAUGGGGAGAGCUCGGGGCUCCCCCGGCUCUAUUUGCUCAGGGACUCGCCCCAAUCCCGGCACUUCCCAAAGCGCUGCGGAAGCCCGGAUGGUGGAAAAGGAGCUGAAGGCUUUUCCGGAGGGGCCAGAUCCCGGAUUUUAUCCCUUGGGCUCUGCAGGACUGGAUCCCAUUCCCAGGGUUUGGUUCCUUUCCAGGACAGGAUCGCAUUCCCGGGGUUUGGUUCCUUUCCAGGACAGGAUCCCAUUCCCAGGACAGGAUCCCAUUCCCAGGAUUUGAUCCCAUUCCCAGGAUUUGGUUCCUUUCCAGGACUGGAUCCCAUUCCCAGGACUGGAUCCCAUUCCCAGAACUUGGAUCCUCUCCAAGGAACAGGAUCCCAUCUCCAGGACAGGAUCCCAUUCCCAGGACAGGAUCCCAUUCCCUGGAUAGGAUCCCAUUCCCAAAACUUGGAUCCUCUCCAAGGAACAGGAUCCCAUCCCCAGGACUGGAUCCCAUUCCCAGGACAGGAUCCCAUUCCCUGGAUAGGAUCCCAUUCCCAAAACUUGGAUCCUCUCCAAGGAACAGG